GACAUCGAGAGGAAGUCGCUGUGGCACUCAGUCCUACGGCCUCCGAGGCUGGGUAGUGAGUGUGUCGCUGGCCUUAGCCAGACUCCACAGGCCACGCUGGCUGCGAAUGGAGCCGAGGACUCGCGCGGAGGCGAGAUGCUACCAGCCGGCGAGAUCGGCGCCUCUCCUGCAGCCCCGUGCUGCUCUGAAAGUGGUGACGAAAGGAAGAACCUCGAGGAGAAAAAGAUGAGGUCUUGCUCUGCUGUCCAGGCUGGAAUGUAGUAGUGAGAUCAUGGCUCACUGCAGCCUCCAUCUCCCAGGCUGCUCAAGCAAUCCUCCCACCUCAGCCCACCUGAGACUACAGGUGACAUAAAUGUUACAGUUCUUAUUGGAAGUAAACAAGUCAGUGAAGGUACAGAUAAUGGUGAUCUCCCUUCUUAUGUGUCUGCAUUCAUAGAAAAGGAAGUUGGAAAUGACCUUAAAUCUUUAAAGAAACUUGAUAAACUCAUAGAACAGAGGACAGUAAGUAAAAUGCAGUUAGAAGAACAGGUACUUACAAUUUCAUCAGAAAUUCCUAAAAGAAUUCGAAGUGCCUUAAA
rnacentral:lncRNA from 1 species